GCCCCAGCAAGCCAGGAAGGAGGCUGGCAGAGCUCCCUGCAGCAGACCCUCCCUGCAGUAGAACAGACCAUCCAGCACAGCUUUUGCAGAUUUUAAACAACACUGGAGACAAUAUGGACACCUGACGGACACCAUACAAAAGUUCAGAUUUUGAAGAACAACAGUCUCCAACAGACACCAUCUGGAAUCUGUCUGAGAGGCAUACUGGUGUUUGGAGGGUCUUCAAAAUAAACUGCGAGUGUUUCCCCAAGAAACGUGGAUAAAGCUCGCAAAUGAAAUGCCUCCCCUAUUGCAGGGAUAAGCAAUAUUAAAUUUAAACAGAAGAAGUUAUGAACAAGCUGGUGGAUAAUGCUCCCAAAUAUAGUAUCUUCCUUUAUGCAGAAAUAUUAGAAAAAUAAACUGAAUAACUUGUGAACAAGCAAGGUGUAUAUGGCUCCCAAAUGGAAUAUCUCCCUUUCUGCAGGGAUAUAUAAUAUAAAUAGAGGAAAUUAUUCUGAAAAGCAAAGUCAGUGCUCUGAUCCUUUCUGUAGGGAUGUAUAAUAUAAACAAUUCUGAAGCAAGUGCUCUCUCAAAUGAAUCAGACCUUUUUCUGCAGGGAAAUCCAUGCACUCUGAGACAAACAGUGAGA